AUGUAGCACACGUACACCGCGGUUCCUCCGAGCCGUCCGCACUCAUCCUGGCGACUGCUCGCUACAUGUUGUUAGCU
rnacentral:sRNA from 1 species